rnacentral:rRNA from 1 species
GACGAACGCUGGCGGCGUGCCUAACACAUGCAAGUCGAACGGAGUUCCUGUAAUUGAAGCUUCGGCAGAUUUUACUUGAACUUAGUGGCGGACGGGUGAGUAACGCGUGAGGAACCUGCCUUCCAGAGGGGGACAACAGUUGGAAACGACUGCUAAUACCGCAUAAUGCAUUUUUAUCGCAUGAUUUAAAUGCCAAAGAUUUUAUCGCUGGAAGAUGGCCUCGCGUCUGAUUAGAUAGUUGGUGGGGUAACGGCCCACCAAGUCGACGAUCAGUAGCCGGACUGAGAGGUUGAACGGCCACAUUGGGACUGAGACACGGCCCAG